rnacentral:rRNA from 1 species
AUAUCAUAAGCGGAGGAAAAAGAACCCAACAGGGAUUGCCCCAGUAACGGCGAGUGAAGCGGCAAUAGCUCAAAUUUGAAAUCUGGCUCUUUCAGGGUCCGAGUUGUAAUUUGCAGAGGGCGCUUUGGCGUCGGCAGCAGCCUAAGUUCCUUGGAACAGGUCAUCAUAGAGGGUGAGAAUCCCGUAUGUGGGCUGCUUGUCUUCGCCGUGUAAAGCCCCUUCGAUGAGUCGAGUUGUUUGGGAAUGCAGCUCUAAAUGGGAGGUAAAUUUCUUCUAAAGCUAAAUAUUGGCCAGAGACCGAUAGCGCACAAGUAGAGUGAUCGAAAGAUGAAAAGCACUUUGGAAAGAGAGUCAAAAAGCACGUGAAAUUGUUGAAAGGGAAGCGCUUGCAGCCAGACGUGCCCGUAGUUGCUCAUCGGGGGGUUCUCCCCCGUGUACUCUUCUAUGGGCAGGCCAGCAUCAGUCCGGGCGGUUGGAGAAAGACCUGUGUCAUGUAGCUGUUUUCGGGCAGUGUUAUAGGGCAGGUGGAAUGCAACCAGCCUGGACUGAGGUCCGCGCAUCUGCUAGGAUGCUGGCGUAAUGGCUGUAAGCGGCCCGUCUUGAAACACGGACCAAGGAGUCUAACAUCUAUGCGAGUGUUUGGGUGU